CCUGCCUGCACCAGUCGGCCCGGUAUGCGUCAUAGCUCACCUCGGUAUCCUGGAGCUGUUGCUGAAGGUCGGAGACCUUCUUCGACCAUUCCCGAUCGCAGUCGGCCUGGGUCAGAAGCCGGGACGAGCUCCCUUCCAACUGGCUAAUCCUCUCCCGCGCAGCCGAUAGCUCCACUCUGAGAGAGCUAAUCUUGGCAGCUUGAGCCCAA
rnacentral:lncRNA from 1 species